GUUUAAACCAAGCUCAAAUAUAUUCAUUCUGGGGCUGAAGUAAGUUGUGCCAAGCGAGUUUUGGAUGCUUUCCAAUUUACUGCCAAUUUCUUAGGGAAAACCUGUGAGGGCGGUGUUUACCCACACCUAACUCUUUCAUUUCUUUUGAUAUAGACCAAAGAUCAGCUCAUCACCUCUGCUAGGAAAAUUGCGACUUCUGGACAAAACUUCGCCAAACUUAUCUGCAUCAUUGCUAAGAACUGCACAGAUCAAAGAUGUUCCCAGGAGCUUCUGUGUGCGGUAGAGCAGAUUCAGACAGUGAGCAGCCAGCUCCGCAUCAUCUCCGGGGUUUGAGACAAGCUUCCCCAGAUCCAGACGAACUGGAAGUUGCUGCCUUCUGCAUGGAGUGGAGGAGAAAACAGCUAAGGCACAGACUUCAAGAAACCUCAAACCUGGACUGUGAUGAGCUGGGCCUGCGAAAAACAAGCACUAAAGGGUCCCCAACACUUGCAGCCCUGGUUCAAGAAACAUCAUAAAAGCUGAGAAAUAGUCUCCAAGUCAGACUCUCUGUUGCUCUGUACACCAGCCUUGAGACUCUGGCAGUCCAGAGUGGGAAGUGUCCUUUAGGCUGAAUCAACCUGUGGGGACAUAGGGUGACACGCUGGGUUGGGUGGGUGUGGAAGUGGCCAGGGCUGGGCCUUGCACAGAGCUUCCCUCACAACAUUCUCAGUUAGGGGGACGUCCCUGGACCCUGGUGGGACUGAUUUCCUCCUGGGAAGCAGACUUACGUUUGUGGGCUUAGAAGAGACAUCACAUAUAGACUGUGGAGUGAGGGGGAAAACCAUGUAAGUGCCAUUAGCUUAGCCUUUAUUAAGAUGUUGCAAAGUAGGAAGAGUUCCAGAAUGUUCUGUAGGGAGCCAGGAACUGAAAGAUGUGUAGGUAAGAUUGGGAAGGUCAGUCAGAGCUCACCUUGCUCGGGUAAUUAGGCACUAUUCAAAUUCUCAGGGUCUGAGGACACUGAGGUUGUGUUAGUAGGGAAUAGGAUGCAGGGGCUGCGAGUCUGCAGACCCUGAGCUGUGCUUUGGUGAAGCUGCAUUUACCAUUUGGGAUGGAGAGGAACAGUAGGGAGUUAAGGUCUUUCCAGAAUCAGUGGG
ensembl:lncRNA